rnacentral:rRNA from 1 species
GAUGAACGCUGGCGGCGUGCCUAAUACAUGCAAGUCGAGCGAACAGACGAGGCGCUUGCUCCUCGGACGUUAGCGGCGGACGUGAGUGUAACAUGUGUAUAACCUACCUAUCAUACGGGUAUAAUUACGGGAAACCGGAUCUUAUACCGUAGGAUCUAUUGCACCACAGGGGGCGAUGGUAAGAUUCGGUGGUUCGGGAUGUACUAGAUGCUUCCGCGCCGGAUUGGCUGGUAGUUACGGUAACGGGUUAUCAAGGGAAGGAGGCGUAGCCGACCUGACAGGGUGAUCGGCCACACUGGAACUGAGACACGGACCAGAGUCCUACGGGAGGCAGCAGAAGGGAAUGGUCCGCAAUGGGCGAGAGCCUGACGGAGCAACGCGGAGUGAGUGAUGACGGUCUUCGGAUCGUAAUGCUCUGUUAUUAGGGGAGAACAAAUGUGUAAGUAGCUGUGCAGGGCUUGACGGUACCGGGUCAGAAAGCCACGGCUAACUACGUG